rfam:Bombyx mori DNA, contig: Bm_scaf63_contig29523, strain: p50T/Dazao, build 2, whole genome shotgun sequence.
AUCACUCAAAUUUUUAUGGAGUUGAAACGUUUGCCUACGUUUGCCGCUAGGGGCGCUGUUACAACUCCAUGCAAAUUUGAGUUA